GGGGAGAUAGUUCAGUGGCAGAACACUUGAUUGUGGCUCAAGAUACCCGGGUUCGAUUCCCGGUCUCCCCU
rfam:Bodo saltans strain Lake Konstanz genome assembly, contig: BS_scaffold1353